rnacentral:rRNA from 1 species
AUGACUUCUGGAAAAAUUCAAAAAAUCCUUGCUAAACAUUGUGCACAAGCGGUCACCAAGGCAAUCAAAGAAGAGAUGGGUGAUUCUCUUUUCUCUGUUCUUAUUGAUGAGUGCCGUGAUAUAUCGGUGAAAGAACAAAUGGCCGUGGUAAUUAGGUAUUUGAGCAAACAAGGAGAGACUAUUGAACGCUUUUUAGGUAUUAAGCAUGUUCCGGACACAACAUCUGCUUCUUUAAAGAAGGCAUUAUUGGAGGUUUUUGCUAAGCACGGUCUAGUUGUUGCACGACUACGAGGGCAAGGGUAUGAUGGGGCAUCUAAUAUGAGAGGAGAAUUCAAUGGCCUUCAGAAGUUAAUUCGAGAUGAGAACCCAUAUGCUUUCUAUAUCCAUUGCUUUGCCCACCAACUGCAGUUGGUAGUUGUUGCUGUUUCGAGAUGCUGCAAGGGUGUUGAGGAUUUUUUUGAAUAUGUGACCAUGAUUGCUAAUCUCAGUACUUCAUCUUGCAAGAGGAAGGAUAAAUUGCUUGACAAGCAAAAAGAGGUUCUUUUGAAUAAGAUUAAGAGUGGUGAGAUGCCAAUGGGAAGAGGGAAAAAUCAAGAAACAUCCUUGGUCAGACCUGGAGAUACAAGAUGGGGCUCUCAUUACACAACCUUAUCUCGCAUUGAAUCAAUGUGGGAUGCAGUCAUAGAGGUUUUGGGCAUUGUUGAGGAUGAUGUGCGUGUUCCAUGUAGGGCGGGACGUUUGGUUCAUCAAAUGGAGACUUUUAGCUUUGUGUUCAUCUUGAAGAUGAUGCUAAAAAUCCUUCGCAUGACAAAUGAUUUGUCUCUUCUAUUGCAAAAGAAGGAUCAAAAUGUUGUUCAGGCAAUGUCAUUGGUUACAGAUGUGAGAACACGUUUGAUCAACUGGAGAAAUAAUGGUUGGGAGCCACUCUUGGAAGAUGUCAAAGCCUUUUGCACCAAAAACGACAUUCCGAUACCAAAUAUGGAUGACAUCUUUACAAAGUGGGGAAAUCAAGAAAAGGUGGACGAAACAAUGUCACGGCUGAUCAUUUUUUCCGCGUGGACACCUUCUAUGCUGCCAUAG